rnacentral:tRNA from 1 species
AGCAUAUUUGCUCAAUUGGUAGAGCAUUUGACUUUGAAUCGAAGGGUUGCCGGUUCGAGUCCGGCAUAUGCAG